UACGGGGGGGGGCAAGCGUUGUUCGGAAUUACUGGGCGUAAAGGCUCGUAGGCGGCCAACUAAGUCGGACGUGAAAUCCCUCGGCUUAACCGGGGAACUGCGUCUGAUACUGGAUGGCUUGAGUUUGGGAGAGGGAUGCGGAAUUCCAGGUGUAGCGGUGAAAUGCGUAGAUAUCUGGAGGAACACCGGUGGCGAAGGCGGCAUCCUGGACCAACACUGACGCUGAGGAGCGAAAGCCAGGGGAGCAAACGGG
rnacentral:rRNA from 1 species